UUGCCAUUAGUGUAAUUGUCAUCAUCAUCAUCAUCAUCGACGUUGGCAUUAGGAACACCUUCGAUCUAGGGAUCACUAAAUUCGUUAAUAUCUUCAUCUUCAUCUAGAAGUUCGCAUCACUCAUCAUCAAUGUUCAAAUUAAUAGGAAUCAACGAUGUUGAUGGUGCAACAUACUAGUAUAGAUUGUCUAAUGCUUCAUUCGAGUCAAGAUCCAACCUGCAUAUGGACAAUCUUCCUAUUAGUGCAUAUGGUAACUCUACAUAUGGGGUCUCGACCUUGUAUAUUUCACAUAUAGCUAGAGAAAUAUUAAAGACAAGCAUGGAUGGACUUGAAAUAUCACCUACUACGUAACUUUGUUUGGCAUCAUACAACUCAACGUAUUGCAACAUUUUUGAUUGAAAAAUGGGUUGAUAUCAUAGUCGCG
rnacentral:lncRNA from 1 species